UUGCCUGUUUGAGGAGAUACUGGGAGCACAGACCCUGCUGUCCCUUAGGCCACAGCUGCCCCUCCUCUCCUCCCCCCCAGCUUUGGCAUGAGUGUUUAGCCACAGGCACUGAUGACUCAGCCCCCUCUUUGAGCCUGUCUCUAGACUAGGGGUACCGACUUCCAUGCCACGGCUCCUUGCAUCUCUCUUGAGUCCCACUGGACCUCAGCCUGUGCUCCUGGAAGCUUUCCUCUCUGCUCACUGGCUAGUCCCCAGCUGGAAGUCCGGUUAUCCUCUGAGGCCCUGUCUGUCCUCUUUCCCUCCUAGAGCCCAGUUUCUCAUUCUGCUGCUCCUGCCUGUCAGUCCUCCCAUGUCUGUCCCUGUUGUCCUGCCCCCACGACUGCUGCUAAUGUCCAGGUCUCACUUCUCCCUAAGCUGACAGGUAAGCAGCCAGAUGCCACAGCCUAUGAUGUGGCAGGUUCUGUAUGGCACCUGUUGGGGGUGGCACCUGUUGGGGGUGGCACUUGGCCAGCCUAAUGGGUGGAAGGAGAAUGAACAGAGGUGAGUGGGUGGACACUUCCCAGGGUCCAAGGCUGAGAGGGCCAGGCCUGCAGAGCUGAUAUGCCAGAGAAGUUGGGCACCAGAGAGUUGCAGGAGGGGUUGUGAGUGCAGAGCCUGGCCAUACUGUGUGAAGGUGCAGCGUGAACGUGACAAUGAGAAACGUCGACCUUGACUCAGGUUCUCACAGAGCCUGGUGAGACUGUUGGGAAAUGCCUCCAGGGUUGUGUGCCAGUCGCAGAGUGAGUAAGCGUAGGUGGUGGAGAGAAGCCAGCGGAGAGAUGAGGGGCGGACUGUGUAUGUCCGCCCGGAGGCAGUGAAUGGGCACAGGUGCUUUGGGAGCCAGCAAAGGUCUGGGUGACCUUGUGGGGAAGGCGAGGAAAGCCCUGGUGAGGCAGAGACCGUUGGGAGACUGCUGGGCAUUUUGACCUCAAGAGUCUUGCCAUCUGUCUAGUAAGCCCCACAAUUUCAAAUUUUUGGUUUCAUUUUCAAGUUAGAAACUGGUCAUCAUACAGAAGGGCCACGAAGGAAGUCUCAGCGUGGGCUGUAGGGGAGAUCCUGAGCCCUGAGCUGCACCUGUAGCUGGUCUCUCUGGGAUGGGAGAGCAGUGGAGGGAAGAGCAGGAGCAGAGAUGGCAUGGCCUUGACUCUGUAAGGGUAUGAAGGAGAGGACAAAUGGCCCUGCAGGUCAGAAACCACCUGAGGCCUCAGAAGAGAGUCAGAACCUCAAGGUUUGCACCAGGGGACAUUCAAGAGGCAGGAUGCCUAGCAGCCCCUUCUAGAACCAGGAGUGGGCGUCGCUCUGCAGAGUCAAACAAUUAUUCUGUGGAAUCCAGACGUUGGGUCGUUUAACCCUGUUACUGCAUAACCCUCAAUGUUUUGAAAAACUAGAUCCUGCUCAUGUCAAAGUUUAUAUAAAAUGUUUUGAUCAUAUAUUUAAAUACUUGUAAAGUUGUGAUUUACAGAAAAGUGUACAUUUUAACAUUUAAAAUAAAUGGUCACAUCAUUCUGGUAAAUUA